rfam:Ovis aries breed Texel chromosome 1, whole genome shotgun sequence.
UCCCUGUUGGUCUAGUGGUUAAGACACUGAGCUCCCAAUGCAGGGGGCAUGGGUUUGAUCCCUGGUCAGGGAA